UACGGAGGGUGCAAGCGUUGCUCGGAAUUAUUGGGCGUAAAGGGUAGGUAGGUGGUCUUAUUUGUCUGGGGUGAAAGCCUUGAGCUUAACUCAAGAAGUGCCCCAGAAACGGUAAGACUAGAGUCCUAGAGAGGGUCGUGGAAUUCCCGGUGUAGCGGUGAAAUGCGUAGAGAUCGGGAGGAACACCAGAGGCGAAAGCGGCGACCUGGACAGGUACUGACACUCAACUACGAAAGCGUGGGGAGCGAACAGG
rnacentral:rRNA from 1 species